GGGUGGCUUGGUAUCCUAGGGUCUGAGUGGGGGGUUUAAUUGGGGCCUCCUGACCUGGAGCCCAGAGAGACCCCUGCUCUGCAGGCGCCAUCUCCGUUCAGCGGGUCCAGGUAGCCUGAGCCUGGCAGUGGCUGCAGGCCCCCAGGGCCUGGCUCCUGGCUUCUGUCCAGAGAAAACAGUCCCAAAGUCAAACCAGAUGGGCCCUCUUCCUGCUGGCACACGGCUCUCCUCAGGUGGGGAGAGGGAGAGCGGCGGGCAUCCCUGAGGGAACCAGAUCCCAUCUGCUGGACCACCCUUGGGCAGGAAGGCUGUCCCUCACCUGCAGCUGGGGGGUGGCGGCUGGAGGCCUCUGAGACAAGGGAGAAGGGGAUCUGGGAGAGCAUAGAUGGACAGACGGAUGGAUGGAUGGAAGGGAAGAAGGACACCCCGAAGAGAAGACGUUCAGGGGGUGGAGGGCGGGAGGUGGCCAUCGACCCUUCCCCACCGGGUCAGUGAGCCGCUGGCCCUCCCCCACGCUCCCAGGCAGGGCAAGGAGAGCCAGAGGCGGCCCCACCAGCUCCCCAGCCACCUCCUCUCAGGACACCUGGCAAGGGAGCGGGACCCAGGCCAACACAAGGGGAAGGUCGGCCAGGGGCAGCCUGAGAGAUUCAGGCUAGACAGCAGGGGGACUUCCUCAGUGGGAGGCGAUGGAAAUUACCUCUGAGAAGACCCUUGCACAGCCCCGUGUGGCACUGGCUCUGUCUGAACCCCCUGGGACACACUUUUCUCAGAAGUGGUUUCCUAAGGCCUGGCCACUUUGUCUCUCUGGACCGGCCGGGGGACAGUGACAUUGAAAUCAACAUUAAACAUGCCUGACGAACACCUCAA